rnacentral:rRNA from 1 species
GUUUGAUCCUGGCUCAGGACGAACGCUGGCGGCGUGCCUAGCACAUGCAAGUCGAACGAGGUCCAUGCAGUGGCAACACUGCGGAAGACCUAGUGGCGAACGGGUGAGUAACACGUGAGGAACUUGCCCCGGAGACCGGGAUAACCCUCCGAAAGGAGAGCUAAUACCGGACGUCCUCACCGAGUCGCAUGGCUUGGUGAGGAAAUGGAUUCCGCUCCGGGAGAGCCUCGCGGCCUAUCAGCUAGUUGGUGGGGUAACGGCCCACCAAGGCGUCGACGGGUAGCUGGUCUGAGAGGACGAUCAGCCACACUGGGACUGAGACACGGCCCAGACUCCUACGGGAGGCAGCAGUGGGGAAUCUUGCGCAAUGGGCGAAAGCCUGACGCAGCAACGCCGCGUGCGGGAUGAAGGCCUUCGGGUUGUAAACCGCUUUCAGUGGGGACGAACCAAGACGGUACCCACAGAAGAAGCCCCGGCCAACUACGUGCCAGCAGCCGCGGUAACACGUAGGGGGCAAGCGUUGUCCGGAUUCAUUGGGCGUAAAGAGCUCGUAGGCGGUUCGAUAAGUCGGGUGUGAAACCUCCAGGCUCAACCUGGAGACGCCACCCGAUACUGUCGUGACUAGAGUCCAGUAGGGGAGCGUGGAAUUCCUGGUGUAGCGGUGAAAUGCGCAGAUAUCAGGAGGAACACCAGCGGCGAAGGCGGCGCUCUGGGCUGGAACUGACGCUGAGGAGCGAAAGCGUGGGGAGCGAACAGGAUUAGAUACCCCUGGUAGUCCACGCCGUAAACGUUGGGUACUAGGUGUGGGGUCUUAUCAGCGGAUUCCGUGCCGAAGCUAACGCAUUAAGUACCCCGCCUGGGGAG